AUGCCGGCUGAAGAUGGUGGCCUUGGCUUAAUCGUUGUGUUGGACUUCCGUGCCCAACUAUGGAAGUGGAAAGCUGGUGUUCGUCAUGAUGAUGCGACAUGGGUUCUGGGAAGGAUCGUUGAACUAGACAAGCUUCUUCCUCUAGGAGCAGCAGGCAAGAGGAAGCCUCUAGCCUUAGUGGGAUUCGACGGGGAAAACAAUGUGACCCUUGUAAGGACAUCUUGUGGCAUCUUCCUGGUCCAUCUCCACUCAAUGACGUUUAAGAGACUCUGCAACAGUGGCAGCGCCAGGGAUAUCCAUAUCUACAAUGCAUUCUCAAGUUUCUAUGAUGCAGAUGAUUUUCUUUAA
rnacentral:rRNA from 1 species